CUGGCGGCGUGCCUAAUACAUGCAAGUAGAACGCUGACUACUUUAGCUUGCUAGAGUAGAAGGAGUUGCGAACGGGUGAGUAACGUGUAGGUAACCUGCCUACUAGCGGGUGAUAACUAUUGGAAACGAUAGCUAAUACCGCAUAACAGUGUUUAACACAUGUUAGAUGCUUGAAAGAUGCAAUUGCAUCACUAGUAGAUGGACCUGCGUUGUAUUAGAUUGUUGGUGGGGUAACGGCCCACCAAGGUGACGAUACAUAGCCGACGUGAGAGGGUGAUCGGCCACACUGGGAUUGAGACACGGCCCAGACUCCUACGGGAGGCAGCAGUAGGGAAUCUUCGGCAAUGGGGGCAACCCUGACCGAGCAACGCCGCGUGAGUGAAGAAGGUUUUCGGAUCGUAAAGCUCUGUUGUAAGAGAAGAACGUGUGUGAGAGUGGAAAUUUCACACAGUGACGGUAACUUACCAGAAAGGGACGCCUAACUACUUGCCAGCAGCUGCGGUAAUACGUAGGUCCCGAGCGUUGUCCGGAUUUAUUGGGCGUAAAGCGAGCGCAGGCGGUUUAAUAAGUCUGAAGUUAAAGGCAGUGGCUUAACCAUUGUUCGCUUUGGAAACUGUUAAACUUGAGUGCAGAAGGGGAGAGUGGAAUUCCAUGUGUAGCGGUGAAAUGCGUAGAUAUAUGGAGGAACACCGGUGGCGAAAGCGGCUCUCUGGUCUGUAACUGACGCUGAGGCUCGAAAGCG
rnacentral:rRNA from 1 species